CAAAUUUUUUUUAAUUUUUUGAUUUUGAAAAUCAAUUUACUUUAUGUAUUAAAAAUUU
rnacentral:tRNA from 1 species